rnacentral:rRNA from 1 species
GACGAACGCUGGCGGCGUGCUUAACACAUGCAAGUCGAACGAUGAAACCUAGCUUGCUAGGUCGAUUAGUGGCGAACGGGUGAGUAACACGUGACUAACCUGCCCCUUUCUCUGGGAUAACGCUCCGAAAGGAGUGCUAAUACCGGAUACUCACACCGAGGCACAUGCCUUGGUGUGGAAAGUUUUUCGGAAAGGGAUGGAGUCGCGGCCUAUCAGCUUGUUGGUGAGGUAACGGCUCACCAAGGCGACGACGGGUAGCCGGCCUGAGAGGGCGACCGGCCACACUGGGAAUGAGACACGGCCCAGACUCCUACGCGAGGCAGCAGUGGGGAAUAUUGCACAAUGGGCGCAAGCCUGAUGCAGCGACGCUGCGUGAGGGAUGAAGGUCUUCGGAUUGUAAACCUCUUUCAGUAGGGACGAAGCGAAAGUGACGGUACCUAAAGAAGAAGCACCGGCUAACUACGUGCCAGCCGCCGCGGUAA